rnacentral:SRP_RNA from 1 species
UAUUGGUCCCUUUGCGACGAUAAGCCGCAAACCCCGCCAGGUCCGGAAGGAAGCAACGGUAGUGGCUGAUUCGGGCGCCUAAGUGCGGCUGGUGCUC